rnacentral:rRNA from 1 species
UGGGGAAUCUUCCGCAAUGGGCGAAAGCCUGACGGAGCAACGCCGCGUGAGUGAAGACGGCCUUCGGGUUGUAAAGCUCUGUUAUUCGGGAAGAAAGAGUCGCUUGUGAACAAUGAGCGAAAGUGACGGUACCUAACCAGAAAGCCACGGCUAACUACGUGCCAGCAGCCGCGGUAAUACGUAGGUGGCAAGCGUUGUCCGGAAUUAUUGGGCGUAAAGCGCGCGCAGGUGGUUUAGAAAGUCUGAUGUGAAAGCCCACGGCUCAACCGUGGAGGGUCAUUGGAAACUAAUAAACUUGAGUGCAGGAGAGAAAAGUGGAAUUCCUAGUGUAGCGGUGAAAUGCGUAGAGAUUAGGAGGAACACCGGUGGCGAAAGCGGCUUUUUGGCCUGCAACUGACACUGAGGCGCGAAAGCGUGGGGAGCAAACAGG